GGCUAGCGUUGCUCGGAAUCACUGGGCGUAAAGCGCACGUAGGCGGACUCUUAAGUCGGUGGUGAAAUCCUGGAGCUCAACUCCAGAACUGCCUUCGAUACUGAGAGUCUCGAGUCCGGGAGAGGUGAGUGGAACUGCGAGUGUAGAGGUGAAAUUCGUAGAUAUUCGCAAGAACACCAGUGGCGAAGGCGGCUCACUGGCCCGGUACUGACGCUGAGGUGCGAAAGCGUGGGGAGCAAACAGG
rnacentral:rRNA from 1 species